rnacentral:rRNA from 1 species
ACAGAUGCCUAGGAGUUUCAAGCCGAAGAAGGACGCGGUUGGUGGCGAAACGCACCGGCAAGGUACCAACAACCUAUGACCCGGUGGUAUCCGAAUGGGGAAACCCUCCUUGACGUAAGUCAAGGAUCUUGAACUAAUUUAUUAGUUCUUGAGGUAACCUGGGGAACUGAAAUAUCUAAGUACCCAGAGGAACAGAAAUCGAAUGAGAUUCCCUUAGUAGCGACGAGCGAAUAGGGAAAAGCCCAAACUCCGCUUUUGGCGGGGGGUUGUAGGACUCCAAUCUAGGAUGUAGUGUUGUUAGAAAAAUAAGCUGGAAAGCUUGGCCAUAGAAGGUGACAGCCCUGUAUUUGAAAAUAACACUACCCUUAGGAGAUUCCUGAGUACUCCAGAAGACGGUAAACUUCGGGAGGAAUCCACGCUGACCACAGUGUAAGGCUAAAUAC